AUUAUUAUAUUAUUAUAUAAGUUUUAAAAUUAGUUUUAUCUUUGGCCUAUUUUUUGGGUGGAUACUCCAACUUGCAUUUUGUAAUGUGGUUGGAUACGACUAGGCAGGAAGGGGGGCGUUUGGCGUGGCACAUGUCCCGUCUCUUAUGUCAACUUAUACACCACUUGUAUAUGCUGUAAAGUAAGAA
rnacentral:misc_RNA from 1 species